rnacentral:ncRNA from 2 species
UGAAGAGGACGACCUCUUUAUAUUCAAAUUUUCAAGCUUUAGGACGACCUAA